ACAUUUCAAAGAAAAGCAAGAGAUAGUAUAACGCGAUUUGAACAUUUUAUUUAUAAGAACUGUCCACGUGUGCGCUUUUACACAUAAACCACCACGCAGUUGCCCCCAAAUCGUCCGCAAAGACAACAAAUAAUCCACAGAUCAAGAGUACUGUGCGAGGCAACCCUUUCACGAAGCAGAAUAAACGUUUAACAGAAAACGAACACACUUUUAACAAUAUAUACUUUUUUUUUUAAAGCAUUAAAAGAUAUAGAUAUCUUUGGGGGGAUCUGUUCAAAUCCUCAACGCGUCCAACUGGUCUAAAGUUUGAGAGUGGCCCCGAACGAUGGAAGUCACCAAACGCGAUGGCAGCCGGUUUUAUCCACCCUUUUCUACCGAUCGGGGACGGUGCCGGAGGGCCUGUUUUAAAUCUGAAUGCAGCGAGCAGUUGGCGUCGCUUGCGGCUCCUCUGCCUCACAACUAUUCGAAAAAAGCUGCCCAGCUUUGUGCUGAAUGCUAGCCGAGUUUCCAAGUCUCCCCAAAGCCUCGGAGACGCGUCGAUUCCAUCAAAAGAAACAAAAAAAUAUUGCAGUUAGUCGUUGUUGUUUACCCGUAUUCAGAUUACACAUAAAAAUGAAUGAAAUUAAAAAAAAAUAUUAAGAGGCACACGCUUCUGGAGAGUGUGUGAUGAUAAAGGUUCAAAGGCUCUCCAAACCCAAACCAAACCAUGGUGAUCUGGAAAAGAUCAAUUGUCCCUUUCCACGUCUGUAUCAAAAAUAAAUGUGUGCGGAGAAGGGGCCGAAUAAGACAAAGCGAUGAAGGCCUGUAAAUAUAUACACGUAGGAAGCUAGCGGCUGCAUCAUGAAAAUCAAAACUUUCCGCUCUUCAGCUAAGCAGCUUCUCUGAUCAAGGUCAGGUGAGCCGAGCGUUGAAAAUAAAUUGCAUUAAGAACAUCCUCAAUAUUUCAAAACUGUUAGAAUUUGUCAAGUUAAAGCAAUAGCUGCCCACGAAGAACUGGUACCAGGGAACAUUAUACACACUUUCCUAAAUGCUCUUGCUGCCUAUAUACUUCUCAAUGCCUUACCAGCAGCUAAACUAUGAGAUCACACGAUUGUGAGCUAGAAAAUGUUUUAUUGCUUCAUUUUUAUAAUUGUUAGUCUAAAAUAAUCCAUAGGAAACUUACAUUCCCACAGUCAUCGAUUUUAGGAACAUUUAGCUAACCCGGAACUUGGGUGAAAGCCUUCAUUUGUGGACAUGGUGUCCUUCCAAAUAAGUACUAACCCCCUCCCCACCCAAAGUUAAGGAUAGAUCAAACCCGCCGAAGGUCCCGAGGAAUUCUAUAGAUCAAAAUAAUGAAACAUUGUUCAGGCCAACGCGUACGAGAGAUCUUAAAGAGUAUAAAUACAUGCGAUCUGGACUUAGGAUGUUAAAAAAUAAUAUUUUCGUCUUUAUAAGACCCAACUCGUGCCAACCAUAGCCAUAUGUUUUGGUCUUGCCCUAAGCUAGCAGCCUUUUGGAGGAGUGCUUUCGACUUGAUAAGCAGAGCCUACGGCCAGACUAUUCCUCCAAACCCACUGUCAGCCAUUUUCGGUACCCCUCCCAACACCAACCUCUCUGUUGCCGUGAAACGGGUUCUAGCUUUUACAACCUUGUUAGCCCGGAGACUGAUCUUGCUUAACUGGAGGCUCACCUGUCCCCCGACACACACCCGCUGGAUUAAGGAGGUGCUUUACAAUUUAAAGCUUCAAAAACGUAGGUUCUCUCUCAAAGGCUCUACCAAGACAUUCCUAGAUACAUGGAACCCUUUCUUGGAACUUGUUAACUCUCUCAACUUGUCCCGGGACUCGGAAGAGGACUGAGUGCUCUCCACCAUUGUUCUGCUCUACUGCAGCUGCUCUCCCCUUAACCACCACCCCCCACACACUUAUUUAUUUAAUUACUUACUUAUUUACUGUUAUUAGUGACCCCCUUUAUUUAUUUAUUUUUUAUUUAAUUUUUUUUUAAUUAUUUUUUUAUUAGUACUUUUUGGUUCGUCUAUCUUACCAUAUUUGUGUGUAUGCGAGUGUUGUUUGGUCCCGUUUGGUUCCGAGCUGAUUCGGGUGGGUUGAAGGUGGGUAAGGGUAAGGGCUUUGAGGGUCGCUUACAUACUGUUGCACAAUUAUGCCUUGACUGUCACUGUCUGUUAUCAUUGUAUGUAUGCAAAUUGCUGUGAAAUUCAAAUAAAAAGAUUUAAAUCAUAAGACCCAACUCGUCAGAUUGCUUCGAAAUAUGUCAUAUAUUUUGACAAAAUGCAGAAAGCCAACGUAAGGGGGAAGGAAUGGGGUGAGAGUGUUAGAUUGUGUUAUAAUACAUACUAAUGUAUAAAUACUACUUAUGGAAUCAAAGGAAGAAUAGAAAUGUUGUCUCCACGACAAUAGACUAUGGUCAUUUAUAAAUCGGAAUAUAACGGGGAGCUAGUCAUCCCUAAGGAACUUCAAUAUUUUAAAACAUGGACGAAACCCCCUCCUUCCUCAACUCCCAGCAUAACCUUUCUAAUUUUUGGGGAGAUAACGGGGGGUAAAUAAUGGAUAGUUUAUACAACUAAAGUAAGGGGUAUUAUAUUAUUAAAAUCAAUUAACUUUUUAGAAGUUUUUUUUUUAAAGAGGAACGACAUUAGUCAUGCUUAAGAUUUAAAAUUGGAAGGGGAUUCGGUUGACUUUUAUUAGAUUUAACACAAUUCAUCAGUUGACCCAGUUUUCGGAGAUGCGUCAUUUUCCAGGUAAUUAGUCCGCAGAAUACCGUUGCUUCUUCCAGUUUGCGAAACUAAUGUUACUUAAAAGUGUAAUAUCCGCAUGCUUUCUUGGAGAUGAACCCCGUGAAGUGAUAUAAAAAUCAGGUGCAAAUAGUGUUUACUUCUCAUUAUUUUUUUUUUUUUGAAUUCCUCAAAUAACAAUUUGGAGGUUCUGUAGUUUUUAUAUAAUUGUGUCCAUACACAUUUUAGAUGGUUUCGGUUACAUUAUGUAAAAAGCCGAUUUCUAAUUUAUUAAAAUGUCAUCUGCACAUAACCACGUGUCUUUUGUAAACGGCUCCAUCUGAAUUCAAUUUUUGAUAUUUGCUAUCAAAUAUUUCAGUAUUCGCUAUAUCCCUAUGUUUCGUUGCUGUUGGCGUUAGUUUAUCUUUCUUGACGUCGUGCGAUUUGAUGCAACCUAAUGUAUAUUAUUGCUAUUCUCUAACUGCUUACAGCUUUUUUAAGUAACUUACAUCGCCGAUUGGUGUUGUGUUCUCUGUUGUAAAUGUGUAUGUGAUUUGAUUUUGUCCCUGCCCGUCUUUGCAUAAUACGUAUGUUGUUGGAUUGAGCCCCCGGUUCCCAGUGUCAGCUUUGAGGGACAUUCACAGAUUGAAGAUCUCACAUUAAAAUCAAUUGAAUUCUCCCUCUGUCGCCUGCAGCUAUCCCCGGCUUUUUGUUUUGUUGUUGGACAGAAGGACGGGAGAAGCGGUUGUGGGUGAAUGUUAUCGGCGCUGGAAAGGCUAAAUUCAUUAUUUUAACAGUUUUAAUUAAAUCAACUAUUAAAUUAUUUUGAUUAUCAAGUCCCAGUUUUACUGCCGCACAUGUAUUGAUAUAUUUGGAUUAUUUCUGCGCUAAAUCACAAACUGACUAUCGAACUGGUGCUGUUACGGUCUCCCAUUAGGCGCCUACCCAACAUGAAUUAUUUUCCAGUAAGGUACGGAUUCUAUAACUAAAUAUCAUGACUGACCCUCACCACAUCUACCCCACAACACGCCCGCACACGCAGAAACACACCCGGGAUGGAAAUAGAAAAAGGCAAUGUCAAAUAGUAAGGGGAAACCAACAAUCGGUGAAAUAAUCCAGGCAUACGAAAUGUGUUCAAAAUAAUCUGUAAAAUUAGAAAUUCGAAAAUGAGAUUUAUAAGACUCGUUUUCCGUUCGAAGAUCGCACUUGUUCGCUCUCCAGUUGCUAGCCGUUGUUUAAAAUGACAAACGUUUUAACAUUACAC